rnacentral:rRNA from 1 species
AUUGAACGCUGGCGGCAGGCCUAACACAUGCAAGUCGAGCGGAUGACGGGAGCUUGCUCCUUGAUUCAGCGGCGGACGGGUGAGUAAUGCCUAGGAAUCUGCCUGGUAGUGGGGGACAACGUUUCGAAAGGAACGCUAAUACCGCAUACGUCCUACGGGAGAAAGCAGGGGACCUUCGGGCCUUGCGCUAUCAGAUGAGCCUAGGUCGGAUUAGCUUGUUGGUGAGGUAAUGGCUCACCAAGGCGACGAGCCGUAACUGGUCUGAACGGACGAUCAGUCACACUGGAACUGAGCCACGGCCCAGACUCCUACGGGAGGCAGCAGUGGGGAAUAUUGGACAAUGGGUGAAAGCCUGAUCCAGCCAUGCCGCGUGUGUGAAGAAGGUCUUCGGAUUGUAAAGCACUUUAAGUUGGGAGGAAGGGUUGUAGAUUAAUACUCUGCAAUUUUGACGUUACCGACAGCAUAAGCACCGGCUAACUCUGUGCCAGCAGCCGCCGUAACAC